rnacentral:rRNA from 1 species
UACGUAGGGACCAAGCGUUGUUCGGAUUUACUGGGCGUAAAGGGCGCGUAGGCGGCAAUUCAAGUCAUCUGUGAAAUCUCCGGGCUUAACUCGGAACGGUCAGGUGAAACUGCUUUGCUAGAGUGCGGAAGGGGCAAUCGGAAUUCUCGGUGUAGCGGUGAAAUGCGUAGAUAUCGAGAGGAACACCUGCGGCGAAGGCGGGUUGCUGGGCUGAUACUGACGCUGAGGCGCGAAAGCCAGGGGAGCGAACGGG